rnacentral:rRNA from 1 species
CUAGUUGGUGGGGUAAUAGCUCACCAAGGCGACGAUCGGUAGCUGGUCUGAGAGGACGAUCAGCCACACUGGGAUUGAGGACGGCCCAGACUCCUACGGGGGGCAGCAGUGAGGAAUUUUCGUCAAUGGGGGCAACCCUGAACGAGCAACGCCGCGUGCAGGAAGAAGGUUUUCGGAUCGUAAACUGCUUUACUGAGGGACGAGCAAGGACGGUACCUCAGCAACAAGCCCCGGCUAACUACGUGCCAGCAGCCGCGGUAAUACGUAGGGGGCGAGCGUUGUCCGGAGUUAUUGGGCGUAAAGCGCACGCAGGCGGUCUUUUGCGUUCGGAGUGACAGUCGUCGGCUUAACUGACGAAGCGCUUGGAAAACGGGGAGACUUGAGAGCUUAAGAGGGACACGGAAUUCCGGGUGGAGUGGUGAAAUGCGUAGAUAUCCGGAGGAACGCCAAAGGCGUAGGCAGUGUCCUGGGGAGUUUCUGACGCUCAGGUGCGAAAGCUAGGGGAGCGAACGGGAUUAGAUACCCCGGUAGUCCUAGCCGUAAACGAUGACCACUAGGCGUAGGGGGUAUCGACCCCUUCUGUGCCGCAGUUAACACGAUAAGUGGUCCGCCUGGGGAGUACGGUCGCAAGAUUAAAACUCAAAGGAAUUGACG